CCUACGGGUGGCAGCAGUGAGGAAUAUUGGUCAAUGGACGAGAGUCUGAACCAGCCAAGUAGCGUGAAGGAUGACUGCCCUAUGGGUUGUAAACUUCUUUUAUAUGGGAAUAAAAUGUUCCACGUGUGGCAUUUUGUAUGUACCAUAUGAAUAAGGAUCGGCUAACUCCGUGCCAGCAGCCGCGGUAAUACGGAGGAUCCGAGCGUUAUCCGGAUUUAUUGGGUUUAAAGGGAGCGUAGGUGGAUUGUUAAGUCAGUUGUGAAAGUUUGCGGCUCAACCGUAAAAUUGCAGUUGAAACUGGAAGUCUUGAGUACAGUAGAGGUGGGCGGAAUUCGUGGGGUAGCGGUGAAAUGCUUAGAUAUCACGAAGAACUCCGAUUGCGAAGGCAGUUGACUGGACUGCAACUGACACUGAGGCUCGAAAGUGUGGGUAUCAAACAGGAUUAGAUACCCUAGUAGUC
rnacentral:rRNA from 1 species